rnacentral:rRNA from 1 species
AACGAACGCUGGCGGCAGGCUUAACACAUGCAAGUCGAACGCCCCGCAAGGGGAGUGGCAGACGGGUGAGUAACGCGUGGGAAUCUACCUAGUUCUACGGAACAACAGUUGGAAACGACUGCUAAUACCGUAUACGCCCUAAGGGGGAAAGAUUUAUCGGAAUUAGAUGAGCCCGCGUAAGAUUAGCUAGUUGGUGGGGUAAUGGCCUACCAAGGCGACGAUCCUUAGCUGGUCUGAGAGGAUGAUCAGCCACACUGGGACUGAGACACGGCCCAGACUCCUACGGGAGGCAGCAGUGGGGAAUAUUGGACAAUGGGCGCAAGCCUGAUCCAGCCAUGCCGCGUGAGUGAUGAAGGCCUUAGGGUUGUAAAGCUCUUUCACCGAUGAAGAUAAUGACGGUAGUCGGAGAAGAAGCCCCGGCUAACUUCGUGCCAGCCGCCGCCGUAACAC